rnacentral:misc_RNA from 1 species
GGUCUUUGCAAUGCCUGAAACAGCUCUAGGACUCUUCCCUGAUGUAGGUGCCUCUUAUUUCUUGUCAAGACUUCCUCGAUUCUUUGGUAAUGCCGCUUAUAUCCUUGAUUAUCCUUAAACAUUUCCCUACUUGAUACAUAAAUUGGAAUUUAUAAAUAUAAAUUUCUUGAAAAUGAAGAUGAAGUCCAGUUUCUUCAAUUAGUUUGUGGGUUUUUGGUUCACUCCUUUUUGUGCUUUCAUGGCAACAUUCAAGCCAGUAAUUGUUUCCCUUAAUUUGAUCCAUGUAGAUAUGGUGUGGUGGCAGGGAAGAAAAAAAAAAAAAAAA